AAAACAAAAUGAGCGUGUGGUCCCGACUAGAUUUUGAUCUGGAUCGGGAAAACGAGGAAGAGGGAUGCUCAGAUCAGCUUGGUUAAAUUAACUUGGUCAUAUUAGCUUAAUUAGAUUAAUUUGAUCAGCUUGGCUUGAUUUGAGCGCUCGGACCCCCGCCAAAGCGGGGAGUAUCUGCGGAGACCCUCUGGGCGAUUUGACCGUCCAAAUAGUGAAUAAAUCAAAAUUGAUGAGUAAUCAUCAACACAGAGUUUAUUAACCAGUCAAAA
rnacentral:ncRNA from 2 species